UCGGAUUGAGUAUUACAUCAGGUACUGGUGUCGAUAUUCGAGACGGAAAGCAUCGAUUUCCUAGUUGCCAACUUACCAGUACUUAUGUUAUGCUCUCUUCGC
rnacentral:pre_miRNA from 1 species